rnacentral:rRNA from 1 species
UACGUAGGAGGCGAGCGUUGUCCGGAAUUACUGGGCGUAAAGCGUGCGCAGGCGGUGAUGUAAGACAGUUGUGAAAUCCCCGGGCUCAACCUGGGAACUGCAUCUGUGACUGCAUCGCUGGAGUGCGGCAGAGGGGGAUGGAAUUCCGCGUGUAGCAGUGAAAUGCGUAGAUAUGCGGAGGAACACCGAUGGCGAAGGCAAUCCCCUGGGCCUGCACUGACGCUCAUGCACGAAAGCGUGGGGAGCAAACAGG